rnacentral:lncRNA from 1 species
AAGUCCGCAGGAGGAAGCUGAUGAAAUCCUGGCCAACUCGCAGUGAGCUCAUCCCGCCCGGGCGCCUCCGGAAGCCACGGGGCCGCCCGGCCUCCGCCUGGCCCGAGCGAUAAAGCUCUCGUGCCGAACCAGGGCGGGAAGUCCUUCCUGAAGUCUGCCCUGCGUGGGGCCUGCUGCCAGAAGCCUGGGCCGGAGGGGAGGGGCGAGGACGAAGUAGCGAACCGUCCGCUGGCUGUCUUAGAAGGAUGAAAAGUGAAUUCUGAGCCUGGCUGUGGGAGUAAGAGAGAGGGCAUCGGGGAAGGGAGAGGGGGGCGGGAGAGACAGAGACAAGAGGUGGGAGAGACGACAGGAAGAAGAGACAAAGGUGGGGAGACUGAGGCAGAGGAGGGAGAGAGAGAGAGACAGAAUCCAGGAGGGACAGCUGAGAGAGUCAGAUGGAGCGACAGAGACAGAGAUGGGGGAGACAGAGACACGGAGAGACAGAGAUGAUGGAGACAGAGACUGGGAGAGACAGAGAUGAUGGAGACAGAGACUGGGAGAGACAGAGAUGAUGGAGACAGAGACAGGGAGAGACAGAGAUGAUGGAGACAGAGACUGGGAGAGACAGAGAUGAUGGAGACAGAGACAGGGAGAGACAGAGAUGAUAGAGACAGAUGGCAGAGACAGAGGUAGCGGAGAGAGACUAGGAGAGACAGAGGUGGCGGAGACAGAGACGGGGAGAGACAGCAGUGGUGGAGACUGAUGGGAGAGACAGAUG